UGCCAGCAGCCGCGGUAAUACGGAGGGGGCUAGCGUUGUUCGGAAUUACUGGGUUUAAAGGGUACGUAGGCGGGACUUUAAGUCAGUGGUGAAAGCCUCCAGCUUAACUGGAGAAUUGUCAUUGAAACUGAUGUUCUUGAGUAUGGAUGAGGUGGUUGGAAUAUAACAUGUAGCGGUGAAAUGCAUAGAUAUGUUAUAGAACACCAAUUGCGAAGGCAGAUCACUAAACCAUUACUGACGCUGAGGUACGAAAGCGUGGGGAGCGAACAGGAUUAGAUA
rnacentral:rRNA from 1 species